UACGGAGGGUGCGAACGUUAAUCGGAAUCACUGGGCGUAAAGCGCGCGUAGGCGGUUCGUUAAGUGGGAUGUGAAAUCCCCGGGCUUAACCUGGGAAUUGCAUUUCAAACUGGCGAACUAGAGUGCGGUAGAGGGAGGUAGAAUUUCCUGUGUAGCGGUGAAAUGCGUAGAUAUAGGAAGGAAUACCAGUGGCGAAGGCGGCCUCCUGGAUCGACACUGACGCUGAGGCGCGAAAGCGUGGGGAGCAAACAGG
rnacentral:rRNA from 1 species